CCCUGCUCAGGACGAACGCUGGCGGCGUGCCUAAUACAUGCAAGUCGAGCGAAUCGAUGGGAGCUUGCUCCCUGAGAUUAGCGGCGGACGGGUGAGUAACACGUGGGCAACCUGCCUAUAAGACUGGGAUAACUUCGGGAAACCGGAGCUAAUACCGGAUACGUUCUUUUCUCGCAUGAGAGAAGAUGGAAAGACGGUUUACGCUGUCACUUAUAGAUGGGCCCGCGGCGCAUUAGCUAGUUGGUGAGGUAAUGGCUCACCAAGGCGACGAUGCGUAGCCGACCUGAGAGGGUGAUCGGCCACACUGGGACUGAGACACGGCCCAGACUCCUACGGGAGGCAGCAGUAGGGAAUCUUCCGCAAUGGACGAAAGUCUGACGGAGCAACGCCGCGUGAACGAAGAAGGCCUUCGGGUCGUAAAGUUCUGUUGUUAGGGAAGAACAAGACCAGAGAACUGCUGGUACCU
rnacentral:rRNA from 2 species